rnacentral:rRNA from 2 species
CAUGUCCUUUAGAAUUUAAUUUAAGGUCUAAUCUGCUCAAUGAUGAUUAAAUAGCCGCGGUAUCUUGACCGUGCGAAGGUAGCAUAAUAAUUAGUUUUUUUAUUGAAAGCUGGAAUGAAUGAUUGGACGAAGGAUUAACUGUCUCCUUAGAAUUUUUUUUGAAUUUAACUUUUAAGUUAAAAGGCUUAAAUUUCUUUUAAAGACGAGAAGACCCUAUAGAGUUUUACAUGUUUUUUCUGGAGAUUUCUUAGAAUAAGUUUAUUUUUAGAAUUAUUUUGUUUUGUUGGGGUGAUUAGAAGAUUAAAUUAACUCUUCUAUGGCUAUAUUACUGAUUAGUAUAUUUUUUUUCUAUAAUUUUAAGUUUAAAUUAAAUUACCUUAGGGAUAACAGCGUUAUUUCCCUUUAGAGUUCUUAUUGGGAGGGAAGUUUGCGACCUCGAUGUUGGAUUAAAAUUUAUGUUAGGCGCAGUAGCUUGUACAUUUAAGUCUGUUCGACUUUUGAAAUUUUACAUGAUCUGAGU